rnacentral:hammerhead_ribozyme from 1 species
AUCUAGCUGACGAGUCCUAAAAUAGAACGAAACGUGCUUCCUGCAU